CGGGGCGUAGCUCAGGUUGGUUAGAGCGCGCGGUUUGGGACCGCGAGGUCGGCGGUUCGAGUCCGCCCGCCCCGA
rnacentral:tRNA from 1 species